AGUUAACGCUGGCAGCGUGCAUAACACAUGCAAGUCGAGCGGGACUGUUUGAGAUUAUAUCAAUGAUAGUCUAGCGGCAGACGAGUGAGUAACACGUAAGAAAUCUACCCCCGAAGUCGGGAACAACUUGCCGAAAGGUGAGCUAAUACCCGAUAUAAUCCCGAAGUGGCAUCAUUUUGGGAUGAAAGCCGUAAGGCGCUCUGGGAGGAUCUUGCGACCUAUCAGCUAGUUGGUGAGGUAACGGCCCACCAAGGCUUUGACGGGUAGCCG
rnacentral:rRNA from 1 species